rnacentral:rRNA from 1 species
CGUAAUCAUUUGUCUUUUAAAUGAAGACCAGUAUGAAUGGCAUAACGAGGGCCAAGCUGUCUCCUUUUUCCAGUCAAUGAAAUUGAUCCCCCUGUGCAGAAGCAGGGACACAAACAUAAGACGAGAAGACCCUAUGGAGCUUAAGACACAAGACAGUUCAUGUUAAAAGACCAUAUUAAUGGAAAGAACCAAAUGACCCCUGUCCUUUUGUCUUUGGUUGGGGCGACCAUGGAGUAACAAAAAACCCCCAUGUGGAACAGGGCCCAGGCCCUUAAAGCUAGAGCCACAGCUCUAACAAACAGAACAUCUGACCUUCAAGAUCCGGCAAGACCGAUCAACGGACCGAGUUACCCUAGGGAUAACAGCGCAAUCCCCUUUUAGAGCCCAUAUCGACAAGGGGGUUUACGACCUCGAUGUUGGAUCAGGACACCCUAAUGGUGCAGCCGCUAUUAAGGGUUCGUUUGUUCAACGAUU